GGCGAGAUGGCCGAGUGGUCUAAGGCGCUAGAAUCAGGUCUGCCACAUACAUAAGUAUCCCUGCAUCUAGUCAUUCGUGGCGUGGGUUCGAAUCCCACUCUCGUCA